rnacentral:rRNA from 1 species
GCUGGGGGUGGCCGCAGAGACCAGCGAGAAGCGACUGUUUACUAAAAACACAGGUCCGUGCGAAGCCGUAAGGCGAUGUAUACGGACUGACGCCUGCCCGGUGCUGGAACGUUAAGGGGACCGGUUAGUCGACCUUCGGGUUGGCGAAGCUGAGAACUUAAGCGCCAGUAAACGGCGGUGGUAACUAUAACCAUCCUAAGGUAGCGAAAUUCCUUGUCGGGUAAGUUCCGACCUGCACGAAUGGCGUAACGACUUCUCGACUGUCUCAACCAUAGGCCCGGUGAAAUUGCAUUACGAGUAAAGAUGCUCGUUUCGCGCAGCAGGACGGAAAGACCCCGGGACCUUUACUAUAGCUUGAUAUUGGUGUUCGGUUCGGCUUGUGUAGGAUAGGUGGGAGACUGUGAAGCGCCAACGCCAGUUGGUGUGGAGUCGUUGUUGAAAUACCACUCUGGUCGUGCUGGAUGUCUAACCUGGGUCCGUGAUCCGGAUCAGGGACAGUGUCUGGUGGGUAGUUUAACUGGGGCGGUUGCCUCCUAAAGGGUAACGGAGGCGCCCAAAGGUUCCCUCAGCCUGGUUGGCAAUCAGGUGUUGAGUGUAAGUGCACAAGGGAGCUUGACUGUGAGACUGACGGGUCGAGCAGGUACGAAAGUAGGGACUAGUGAUCCGGCGGUGGCUUGUGGAAGCGCCGUCGCUCAACGGAUAAAAGGUACCCCGGGGAUAACAGGCUGAUCUUCCCCAAGAGUCCAUAUCGACGGGAUGGUUUGGCACCUCGAUGUCGGCUCGUCGCAUCCUGGGGCUGGAGUCGGUCCCAAGGGUUGGGCUGUUCGCCCAUUAAAGCGGUACGCGAGCUGGGUUUAGAACGUCGUGAGACAGUUCGGUCCCUAUCCGCUGUGCGCGUAGGAGUCUUGAGAAGGGCUGUCCCUAGUACGAGAGGACCGGGACGGACGAACCUCUGGUGUGCCAGUUGUUCUGCCAAGGGCAUGGCUGGUUGGCUACGUUCGGAAAGGAUAACCGCUGAAAGCAUCUAAGCGGGAAGCCUGCUUCGAGAUGAGGGCUCCCUCCCACUUGAUGGGGUAAGGCUCCCAGUAGACGACUGGGUUGAUAGGCCAGAUAUGGAAGACCGGUAACGGUUGGAGUUGACUGGUACUAAUAGGCCGAGGGCUUGUCCUC